UGGGGAAUAUUGGACAAUGGGCGGAAGCCUGAUCCAGCAACGCCGCGUGAGGGAUGACGGCCUUCGGGUUGUAAACCUCUUUCAGCGGGGACGAAGCGCCGAUGAUGGUGGUGACGGUACCCGCAGAAGAAGCACCGGCCAACUACGUGCCAGCAGCCGCGGUAAUACGUAGGGUGCGAGCGUUGUCCGGAAUUAUUGGGCGUAAAGGGCUCGUAGGCGGUUUGUCGCGUCGGGAGUGAAAACACCGGGCUUAACUCGGUGCUUGCUUUCGAUACGGGCAGACUAGAGGCAUGCAGGGGAGAACGGAAUUCCUGGUGUAGCGGUGAAAUGCGCAGAUAUCAGGAGGAACACCGGUGGCGAAGGCGGUUCUCUGGGCAUGUCCUGACGCUGAGGAGCGAAAGUGUGGGGAGCGAACA
rnacentral:rRNA from 1 species